rnacentral:rRNA from 1 species
AGCAGCCGCGGUAAUUCCAGCUCCAAUAGCGUAUAUUAAAGUUGUUGCAGUUAAAAAGCUCGUAGUUGAAUUUCGGAAUUUAUCGGUUGGUCGGGCUUCACUGUCCGCACUGGCCUGAUGGAUUCCUACCUUCUGAAUAACCAGCAUGCUAUUAAUUUAGUGCGUUGGGGAAGCAGAGCUAUUACCUUGAAAAAAUUAGAGUGCUUAAAGCAGGCUUACGCUUGAAUAGAUUAGCAUGGAAUAAUAAAAUAGGACGGCUUGGUUCUAUUUUGUUGGUUUCUAGGAUCACCGUAAUGAUUAAUAGGGAUAGUUGGGGGCAUUAGUAUUCAAUUGUCAGAGGUGAAAUUCUUGGAUUUAUUGAAGACUAACUUCUGCGAAAGCAUUCGCCAAGGAUGUUUUCAUUAAUCAAGAACGAAAGUUAGGGGAUCGAAGACGAUCAGAUACCGUCGUAGUCUUAACCAUAAACUAUGCCGACUAGGGAUCGGACGAUGUUAAUUUUUUAAUGACUCG